rnacentral:tRNA from 1 species
GGCAAGAUGGCCGAGUUGGUCUAAGGCGUCAGGUUAAGGUUACCUUAACACAUAGCUUCACAGCUUCCUGGUCAUCGUUUGAUGGCGUGGGUUCGAAUCCCACUCUUGUCA